rnacentral:rRNA from 1 species
CUAGAUGACGUUGGCGGCGUGCCUAACACAUGCAAGUCGAACGGGAAGCGCACUUCGGUGCGUGGAGAGUGGCGAACGGGUGAGUAACACGUAACUGAUCUGCCCUGUAGAGCGGGAUAACCUGUGGAAACAUAGGCUAAUACCGCAUAAGCUCACGGUAGUUAGAGCGCAGUGAGAAAAAGCUUUGGCGCUUGAGGGUGGGGCUGCGACCCAUCAGCUAGUUGGUGAGGUAAAAGCUCACCAAGGCAAAGACGGGUAGGGGGCCUGAGAGGGUGACCCCCCACACUGGGACUGAGACACGGCCCAGACUCCUACGGGAGGCAGCAGUGAGGAAUAUUGCACAAUGGGCGCAAGCCUGAUGCAGCAACGCCGCGUGGGUGAAGAAGGUUUUCGGAUCGUAAAGCCCUUUUCUGUGUGACGAAAAAGGACGGUAGCACAGGAAUAAGUGUCGGCUAACUACGUGCCAGCAGCCGCGGUAAAACGUAGGACGCGAACGUUAUCCGGAGUUACUGGGCGUAAAGCGCGUGCAGGCGGUUUUGUAAGUCUUCUAUGAAAGGUACCGGCUAAACUGGUAGAGUGUAGGAGAAACUGUUCAACUAGAGAGAAAUAGAGGGAAGUAGAAUUCCGGGUGUAGUGGUGAAAUGCGUAGAUAUCUGGAGGAAUACCAGUGGCGAAGGCGGCUCACUGGCCCUCAACUGACGCUGAGACGCGAAAGCGUGGGUAGCGAACGGGAUUAGAAACCCCGGUAGUCCACGCUGUAAACGAUGCACACUAGGCGUUCGUAUACGUUGAGUAUAUGAGUGUCGCAGCAAACGCGAUAAGUGUGCCGCCUGGGGAGUACGGUCGCAAGGCUAAAACUCAAAGGAAUUGACGGGGGCCCGCACAAGCGGUGGAGCAUGUGGUUUAAUUCGAUGAUACGCGAAGAACAUUACCUGGGUUUGACAUGAUAGUAGUACGGAAGCGAAAGCGGAAGGACUCUUCGGAGAGCUAUCACAGGUGCUGCAUGGUUGUCGUCAGCUCGUGCCGUGAGGUGUUCGGUUAAGUCCGCAAACGAGCGCAACCCUCGGUGCUAGUUACAAGUGUCUAGCGCGACUGCCCGUGACAAACGGGAGGAAGGUGGGGAUGACGUCAAAUCAGCAUGGCCUUUAUAUCCAGGGCUACACACACGCUACAAUGGUCGGUACAAUGGGUCGCGAAGCCGCGAGGUGGAGCCAAUCCUCCAAAGCCGAUCUCAGUUCGGAUUGCAGGCUGCAACUCGCCUGCAUGAAGUCGGAGUUGCUAGUAACCGCGUAUCAGCACGGCGCGGUGAAUACGUUCCCGGGCCUUGUACACACCGCCCGUCACGUCAUGGAAGCGGGUCACGCCUAAAGUCGGGAAGCUAACCUAACGGAGGCUACUGCCUAGGGCAGGAUCGAUGACUGGACGAAGUCGA